AAGAAAUUUGACACCAAUUUUAAAAAAUUUAGUCCAAAAUUAGGCGAAACGGGCCGAACCGGGCCCAAGGCCCAACCCAAGUCUCAUAAAACUCAAGAGAGCUCAACUCUCUUCUCUUCCCAUAAGCUAAACACGCUGGGGAAACACAAUUGGGGUGGAGGAGCAAUAAUAAACCAUUGUCUUCCAUUCAAUCCUCCAUAAUUUUCUGCUUCGAGCUCCAAUCGCUACACCAUUUGCGGCCACAUAUCCGCAGCGUCGAUCUCUACAAAGCCCGGUGAAUAAUUUGGACCCGAUUAGCUUAAGGAAAACAUUCACUCUUACUUAUUUGACGUUUGGAUAAGGUGUAUGUACAUAUGUGAUAUGAAGCUAUUGGAUGUGUUGGAAGCUCAAUUGGAAGCUUAGUAUUGGUGCUAGAGCUGAAUUUUGGUGUUCAGGGCUUGCUUUUUGCCUAAGUAGGUUGCCUUGGGUUAUAGUAGCUAUCCUCCCCAUCAAUCCAUCCAUGGCAACUGGUUCGCAGUUUCCGAAACACCCCAAAUCUAAAAGGCCCAAUUUUUCUUUUUGUUUUUGUUCAAAAAGAGGGCCAAUUUUUCAAAAUGUCUACAGGGCCUCAAGCCCAGUUCAAGUCCACAAUCACGAGGUUGCAGGCUUCAAAAUCGUCUUCUACACAAACAAGUUGGAUCUAAUGGUUAGCUCAUUAGUAAUUUGCUUUAAUGGUUUGCUUAAACAAAUGUCAAAAAUUUGAAUAUUUUAGUCCAAUUUAAUUUUUUUUAAAUCAACCCUAUUUGUGAUUAUUGCCAAGGUAACCAAUUUAGGUUAGUUUAGUAAUUAGCUCACUAAUUCGCUUAAAUAAUUGUUAAAAAUUCGAAUCACGUCCUGUAUAUGCAACAAUCUAUUUGCCUGCAGCAAACCCUUAAUGGAGCUCAGAUUCGUAGUCCUUUACCUAUCGGAUUGGAAGAUACUAUGAAAAAACAAAUAAAUAAAUAUAAGCUAAAGUAACCAUAUCCUUCUUGAUUCGAAUGCAAAAAUAUUCUCAUUAAUAUAAUAAGCAAGAUCGGAUAUCAUAUUCCGGUGCUCAUUGAUUUAAUUAGUCAGUCAUCAGUCAUCACCUAUGUAUGUUAAUCAUAGGCAACAUUUGCAAUAUUAGAUCUAUACAAUAUACAUGUGACAGAGUACUACAAAAGCUUUAGGAACAAAGGUGAUUAACACAGCACAUCUAAAUGACAGACUCGUCAUAUCUAAAUAAUAAUAAUAAAACAUUCAUGUUUUAAAUAGGCUACAACUCUACAAGUUGGCUAAAAAUGGUCAGAAAUGUAGCUUACCGGAGUCAAUCCACAUACUACGGAAAUGGCACUUGUGCAUUACGAUUAAAACCAAUAAACCCAACUAGUUCUGAAACUAACUAAAUUAGUUCAACUAUACAAAAACGUUUAGUUCCAAGAUCAAUUCAAUAAAACAUUCACGUGACCAAUCCAUACUAUGUGAUUUCUAACCAUUAACUUUCUCUUGUCAGGAUCCUGGAUAUGAAAAGUAAGUAAACUAUAGUACAAUGUCUUUUUUUCCAACACAGAAGAAAUUGCAAUCUGCUAUUAUUCAUCUGUAAGUUCAACACCGUCAAAACCAUUACUAUUAUCCUGAUCAACCAAAGAUUUGCCUCUAGGUUUAGAGGAUUUGCUAGGUUUUAAUGGUUUCUUUAUUUUUUCUGCCUGUAACUCCAACACCUUCUCAGAA